rnacentral:lncRNA from 1 species
AAAAAGUUUUAUAGAUAUUAAAAAUGUUUUGUAAAGUCCAAAAAAUCGAAUUUAUAUACAAAAAAUAUUUUGUAAAAUCCAAAAAAUCAAAUUUAUAUAGAAAAAUCGUUUUGUAAAAUACAAAAAUCAAUUUUAUAUACAAAAAUUGAUUUUAUAAAUACAAAAAAAAUAAAAAAUUAUAAAAAAAUUCUAAAUCAAUUCAACAAAACAAAUUAUUCAACCAAAUCACAAUUCUAAACCUAUUAUACAACCAAAUCACAAUCCUAACCAAUCACCCUAAC